GAUGAAGAACGUAGCGAAAUGCGAUAAGUAGUGUGAAUAGCAGAAUUCAGUGAAUCAUCGAAUCUUUGAACGCACAUUGCGCCCCUUGGUAUUCCAUGGGGCAUGCCUGUUCGAGCGUCAUUUGUACCUUCAAGCUCUGCUUGGUGUUGGGUGUUUGUCUCGCCUCUGCGUGUAGACUCGCCUCAAAACAAUUGGCAGCCGGCGUAUUGAUUUCGGAGCGCAGUACAUCUCGCGCUUUGCACUCAUAACGACGACGUCCAAAAGUACAUUUUUACACUCUUGACCUCGGAUCAGGUAGGGAUACCCGCUGAACUUAAGCAUAUCAAUAAGCGGAGGA
rnacentral:misc_RNA from 1 species